GGAUAUGAGGGUGUUUUUGAUGGGAUACCUGUCACCAGUUGAUCACAAUGGUUGAUUUGGCCGAUCUGGCUAACUAGGCGGGUUCCCCUGCCUUCCUAACUGCCCCAUAUAUGUCUCUUCCAAAGCUGCACACUCUGUUGAGGGGGAUGAGUUUCCCCAAUACAGGAAAAUGAUCCUUCCAUAAGGGUAUACAUGCGGCAAGCACUCCCUUGCUAGAUGCUCCAAACAAGUCCUCAGAGAAUACAAGAAAAAGCCUGCGAAAGAUAGUGUUUAAAAUAGCAUAGACACUCCAACUGGUUUAUACCACUACCUGUUUUU
rnacentral:snRNA from 1 species